UACGUAGGGGGCAAGCGUUGUCCGGAAUCAUUGGGCGUAAAGAGCGUGUAGGCGGCCCGAUAAGUCCGCUGUGAAAGUCCAGGGCUCAACCCUGGAAUGCCGGUGGAUACUGUCGGGCUCGAAUCCGGAAGAGGUGAGUGGAAUUCCUGGUGUAGCGGUGAAAUGCGCAGAGUAUCAGGAGGAACACCAAUGGCGAAGGCAGCUCACUGGGGACGGUAUUGACGCUGAGACGCGAAAGCGUGGGGAGCAAACAGG
rnacentral:rRNA from 1 species